UAUGUGAUCGUCUCUCGCAUAUCAAUAAGCGGAGGAAAAGAAACUAACAAGGAUUCCCCUAGUAACGGCGAGUGAAGCGGGAAGAGCUCAAAUUUGAAAUCUUAAAGGGUUUCCCUUUACGAAUUGUAGUUUAAAGAAGUGUUUUCUGUUGAGGUUUUGGUAAAAGUUCUUUGGAAUAGGACAUCAUAGAGGGUGAGAAUCCCGUAUUUGACCUUUACUUUCAACUUUGUGAUACACUUUCAAAGAGUCGGAUUGUUUGGGAAUGCAGUCCAAAAUGGGUGGUAAAUUUCAUCUAAAGCUAAAUAUUGGCGAGAGACCGAUAGCGAACAAGUACCGUGAGGGAAAGAUGAAAAGAACUUUGAAAAGAGAGUUAAACAGUACGUGAAAUUGUCAAAAGGGAAGCGUUUGACACCAGUGUUGUUUUUCUGAAAAUCAAUUAAAGAACUGUUUAUGCUAAGCUGUUUAGACUUUAUCAGCUAUCUGUUUAGUUUUGAGCUUUUCUUUAAUGCACUUUUCAGUUAACAAGUCAACAUCAAUUUCUUUUGCUGUAAAAAAGCUUGAGGAAGGUGGCUUGAGAUUCGUCUUAAGUGUUUAUAGCCUCUUGCCUAUGCAGUCGGAGAGAUUGAGGUCUGCAGCGUAGAUCCUUCGGGGCUAAAUGCAUUUGUGCUAAGUUAUAGCAUUUUAUAGACAACUUGUUGACUAUGAUUUGUCUUGUAGCUUACUCGCUUAUGUUAUUUUACCUACGCUUAGGAUGUUGAGUAGCGACAUACGCA
rnacentral:rRNA from 1 species